ACCCGCUGAACUUAAGCAUAUCAGUAAGCGGAGGAAAAGAAACUAACUAGGAUUCCCCGAGUAGCGGCGAGCGAAAGGGGAGAAGCCCAGCGCCGAAGCCCGCCACCCUCCGGUGGCCGUGCAAUGUGGCGUUUCGGCGGCGACUCGCAGCGUCCGCUCUGACACGAGUACCUCUGAAUGGGUCGGCCCGUAGCGGGUGUCAGGCCUCUACCUGUCAGAUUGAGCGGGCGCGGCACGUCGUCGUCGCGGAGUCGGGUUGCUUGAGAGUGCAGCCCAAAGUGGGUGGUAAGCUCCAUCUAAGGCUAAAUACCUAGUGCGAGACCGAUAGCAAACAAGUACCGUGAGGGAAAGUUGCAAAGAACUUUGAAAAGAGAGUUCAAGAGUACGUGAAACCGUUCAGAGGCAAACGGACGGAACUGGGCGAGUUCGCCGUCGUCAUUCAGCCGUCGCGUUCGCGCGGCGGUGCACUUGGCGGCGGCGGAGCGCGACGACCGUCUGCCGGGUCGUCGGAAGCACGGCGGCAAGGUGGCGACGCGCUCGCGCGUCGUGUUACAGGCCGGCCGAUGCGUUGACUGACUUGGCGGGCGAGGAGCGCCUGCGGUGCACUCCCCCUUCGGGCGGGAGUGACCCGACGUGGUGGGCUUGCGGACGCCGGCGACGAACUGCUCGCAGUUUGACGUCGCGCGCUCUGUCUGUCGCGCCGCGCGGUGUCACGAGGCACCCAGGGUCCGGGUCGUGUGGUUCCUGGCACUCCGUCCGACCCGUCUUGAAACACGGACCAAGGAGUUGAGCACGCGCGCGAGUCGAUGGGCAUCAUGAACCCCAGUGGCGCAGCUAAGGCAAAACGGGCGUGAUCCGGCACUGGCGUGUCGGCGCAACGCCGGCCCGCGGCCGACUCGAUGCGAGUAGCCGCGGCGCAAGAGCGUGCGUGCUCAGACCCGAAAGGUGGUGAACUAUGCUUGAGCAGGGCGAAGCCAGAGGAAACUCUGGUGGAGGCUCGCAGCGAUCCUGACGUGCAAAUCGGUCGUCAAACUUGAGCAUAGGGGCGAAAGACUAAUCGAACCGCCUAGUAGCUGGUUCCCUCCGAAGUUUCCCUCAGGAUAGCUGGCACUCGGGAUAAAUGGUUUUAUCCGGUAAAGCGAAUGAUUAGAGGCAUUGGGGACGAAACGUCCUCAACCUAUUCUCAAACUUUAAAUGGGUAAGAAGCGCGGCCCUUCCCUAUCGGGGCCGCGUGCUUGAACAGAGAGUGCCCAGUGGGCCGUUUUUGGUAAGCAGAACUGGCGCUGUGGGAUGAACCAAACGCGCGGUUAGGGUGCCUAACGCACGCUCAUGAGACACCACAAAAGGUGUUGGUUGAUAUAGACAGCAGGACGGUGGCCAUGGAAGUCGGAACCCGCUAAGGAGUGUGUAACAACUCACCUGCCGAAUCAACUAGCCCUGAAAAUGGAUGGCGCUGGAGCGUGCGACCCAUACCGCGCCGUCGGGGCAAUGCGUGCGUAAUGCCAGGCCCCGACGAGUAGGAGGGCGUGUCGGUGGCGUUGAAGCGUAGCGCGUGAGCGCGCGUGGAGCCGCCUUCAGUGCAGAUCUUGGUGGUAGUAGCAAGUAUACAAAUGAGAACUUUGUAGACCGAAGUGGAGAAGGGUUCCAUGUGAACAGCAGUUGGACAUGGGUCAGUCGGCCCUAAGAGAUCGGAGAAUUCCGUUCUGAACGGGGAAGACGCGUCGCGUGCACGGCCGUCAGAAUCACAUCUGAGAGCGGCGCGUCACGCGCUCGCGCUUGUCACACCCCGAUGCGAUCGAAAGGGAAUCGGGUUAAUAUUCCCGAACCUGGCAGUGGAGAUUGGGCUCUCGGGCCCCAGUGCGGUAACGCAACCGAACUCGGAGACGCCAGCGUCGAUCCCGGGAAGAGUUCUCUUUUCUUUGUUAGGAGCGGACUCCCUGGAAUUGGCUUGUCCAGAGAUAGGGACGUUGCAUCCGUAAAGCGUCGCGCCUCACGCGGCGUCCGGUGCAUCGGCGUUGGCCCUUGAAAAUCCGAGGGAGGCAGUGUAAUUUUCACUCCAGGCCGUACCCGAAUCCGCAGCAGGUCUCCAAGGUGAACAGCCUCUGGUCGAUAGAACAAUGUAGGUAAGGGAAGUCGGCAAAUCCGAUCCGUAACUUCGGGACAAGGAUUGGCUCUGAGGUGCGGGCUGCUUCGGGUCGCGGCAGGAAGCGGGCCGUGCGUUGGUUGGACUGGACGCGUUUGCGCGCGUUCGGACCGCCGCCAGCGCGCGUCCGUGGGAGGCCGUGGCUUUCGGCGGCGUGGGACUCGUGCCCGCGUCGCCUUCGUUCGGCCUAAACGCACAGCACAGAACUGGCACGGACUCUGGGAACACGACUGUCUAAUUAAAACAAAGCAUCGCGAUGGCCGCUGGUCGGUGUUGACGCGAUGUGAUUUCUGCCCAGUGCUUUGAAUGUCAAAGUGAAGAAAUUCAACCAAGCGCAGGUAAACGGCGGGAGUAACUAUGACUCUCUUAAGGUAGCCAAAUGCCU
rnacentral:rRNA from 1 species